rnacentral:tRNA from 1 species
GAUGCCCUUUCGUGGCAUAAUUGGUUACUGCAUCAGUCCAACACACUUGUGGUCUCCAGUUUGAGCCUGGCCGAAAUCA